AGAGUUUGAUCAUGGCUCAGAGCGAACGCUGGCGGCAGGCCUAACACAUGCAAGUCGAACGGACUCUUCGGAGUUAGUGGCGGACGGGUGAGUAACACGUGGGAACGUGCCUUUAGGUUCGGAAUAAGCUCGGGAAACUGGGUCUAAUACCGAAUGUGCCCUUCGGGGGAAAGAUUUAUCGCCUUUAGAGCGGCCCGCGUCUGAUUAGCUAGUUGGUGGUGUAAUGGACCACCAAGGCGACGAUCAGUAGCUGGUCUGAGAGGAUGACCAGCCACAUUGGGACUGAGACACGGCCCAAACUCCUACGGGAGGCAGCAGUGGGGAAUCCUGCGCAAUGGGCGAAAGCCUGACGCAGCCAUGCCGCGUGUAUGAUGAAGGUCUUAGGAUUGUAAAAUACUUUCACCGGUGAAGAUAAUGACUGUAGCCGGAGAAGAAGCCCCGGCUAACUUCGUGCCAGCAGCCGCGGUAAUACGAAGGGGGCUAGCGUUGCUCGGAAUUACUGGGCGUAAAGGGAGCGUAGGCGGACAUUUAAGUCAGGGGUGAAAUCCCAGAGCUCAACUCUGGAACUGCCUUUGAUACUGGGUGUCUUGAGUGUGACAGAGGUAUGUGGAACUCCGAGUGUAGAGGUGAAAUUCGUAGAUAUUCGGAAGAACACCAGUGGCGAAGGCGACAUACUGGCUCAUUACUGACGCUGAGGCUCGAAAGCGUGGGGAGCAAACAGGAUUAGAUACCCCGGUAGUCC
rnacentral:rRNA from 1 species